rnacentral:lncRNA from 1 species
AGUAUUAGAGUGAUUCGUCAUCAAAGAUUCAAAUUGUGUGUCUGUAUGUUACUUUUGGUAAAGUACCCAUCAGUUCAAAUUGUCUUCUAAUUCUUGAAAAAAGUAUUCCAACUUUGAAUGACUCAUGAACCCAUAAAACAGAUACUACAAGUCUACAAUACCUUCAAGGUGUUCACUAUUCACUUUGUGAGAUAUGAGAUAUGAGACUUGAGAGAUGAGAUCUAAGACAUGAGAGGCAGAUCUGAGAUGAGAGAUGAG